AUCCCUUAGGCUGGAAAAGCAAAGCCCUCCGAGACCACCGAGACGCACCGCUAACCCACCGGUAGCAAGAGGUACAAAUGUGUAUGACCACCUUCUUCCUUUUCGGAAUAACCUGGUCUGUGGGCAACACAGGACUGAGGCACUGAGAGCAGAUGCUCAAGGGGAUUUCUCUUGCUGCAGUGCUAGCUGUAAUUCCUGACUUUGCAAACCCAGAGGGCUGCGUGAGUUCACAAC